rnacentral:tRNA from 1 species
GCCCCUGUAGCGCAAUGGACAGCGAGUUGGACUUCUAAUCCAAAGGUCGUGGGUUCGAAUCCCACAUGGGAUA